UGGGGAAUAUUGGACAAUGGGCGAAAGCCUGAUCCAGCCAUGCCGCGUGUGUGAAGAAGGUCUUCGGAUUGUAAAGCACUUUAAGAUGGGAGGAAGGGCAUUAACCUAAUACGUUAGUGUUUUGACGUUACCGACAGAAUAAGCACCGGCUAACUCUGUGCCAGCAGCCGCGGUAAUACAGAGGGUGCAAGCGUUAAUCGGAAUUACUGGGCGUAAAGCGCGCGUAGGUGGUUUGUUAAGUUGGAUGUGAAAGCCCCGGGCUCAACCUGGGAACUGCAUCCAAAACUGGCAAGCUAGAGUACGGUAGAGGGUGGUGGAAUUUCCUGUGUAGCGGUGAAAUGCGUAGAUAUAGGAAGGAACACCAGUGGCGAAGGCGACCACCUGGACUGAUACUGACACUGAGGUGCGAAAGCGUGGGGAGCAAACA
rnacentral:rRNA from 1 species